ensembl:snRNA U6 U6 spliceosomal RNA
GUACUCGCCUUGGCAGCACAUACACUAAAGUUGCAGUGAUACAGAGAAGAUUAGCAUGGCCCGCCCCUCUGCAAGGAUGACAUGCAAAUUUGUGAAGCAUUCCAUAUCUUU